AAGAAGUCUGCUGAACCAAAGUCUGAGUCUCGAGUCGACUCCCGAGUAUCACGAGUCGACUCCAAGCAUAUCAAGUUCACUGGCACGACCUCGAGUCGACUCCAGACUAGUACGAGUCGACUCCGACUGAGAACAGAAAGAAGAAUAGAAAGCCUCAUCUCAGAACCUGUCAACGAGUCGACUCCUGAAGUGCGCGAGUCGACUCCAAUGUUCAACGAGUCGACUCCAGGAUAGUAAGAGUCGACUCCAAGAGGUACACAAAGAAAAGGUCAGAGAACAUUUUAUGGACUCUGAGAUUCGAGUCGACUCCCGCAAUACGCGAGUCGACUCCGAGACUGUGCGACCAUCGACAGACAGAAAACCAUGUUACUGCCUCUGAGAUUCGAGUCGACUCCCAGACAGCUCGAGUCGACUCCAAGACAAGCUUCACGUCAAAAGGCAGAAGACCAACUUUCGGAAACUGAGAGCCGAGUCGACUCCAAGGAAGUUCGAGUCGACUCUAAGACUGG
rnacentral:lncRNA from 1 species